AAGGGGCUAGUUAAAUUAUAAUAUCAGGGUGUCAAUCUGGAGUUGCCCAAGGGUGUCUCUUUA
rnacentral:tRNA from 1 species